AUUUAGUUUUUUCAUACAGCUCUGUUGAUGAUUGGACAACAAGGAGGGCAAAAUUCAUCUCUGAUUUCUGAUGGGUGGAUCCCAGUUCCUGUCUUCCUUUCUCCCUGCAGCAGACAAAGGUAUAAUGUGUUCCAGUAGCUGGAAGAUGAAAGCUGGACAAAUUCACACUGGAAAUAAGGCGUAAUUGCUCUAACUGACAGGCUUCAGGAGUUUUCUUCUUUGCCUGCUCUUACGGAGCCCAGUCUGGGGAGCCAUUCAACGUUAGACAGUAACACGGAAGAGGUCCAUGAGACGAUGGCUGUGGAAGGGACCUUGGGCCUGGGAGGGAUGCUAUGAGCAAUGCUCCUGCCUGCAUUUCUGCUGCUGCUUGUGCAGUGCCAUCUCAGCAGCUAUAAAUGAAGCCUCCCUCCCUGCUGAGAGCACAGGAAGACUGCAGAGAGGGGGUAGCUAACUCUGCAGUGCUGGGCUAGUUGCUAGACUGGAUUGCUGAGAUGCAGCCACUAUAGUUCCCAUUUUCACACAAAACAAGCCCUUCCCCCUUUCUUUUCGCUCUCUUUGGCAGCCCCAUCUCAUCCACUAAGCUGCAGUAUGGGAGGGGGGGGGAGGGGGAGAGUGCUUCCUCACACACCCAACCCCUCCCUACCCACACCCUUCUCACUAGUCAUGCCACUCUGAAACCUAUUACCCUGUAGCUAACUCACUGCUCUGUGAAGGGCCCUUCCUCCAUUGUCUGAGACGAACUCACACUUGUAGCACCAGAGGGCUGAAGAACAAAGCGUGUUGCUGUCUCUGAACUCAGCCGUAGCUGGUGGAAAAUUUCAGAGAUUCCAAGGCCAGAAGGGAUUGUUGUGAUCCUCUAGUCUGACCUCCUGUAUAACACAGGCCAGCGAAUGUCCCCAAAAUCAUUCCUAGAGCAGAGCUUUUAGAAAGACAUCCAAGCUUGAUUUAAAACUUGUCAGUGAUGGAGAAUCCACCAUGCCCCUUGGUAAGUUGUCUUUGUAAAGUGCUUUGAGAUCUACAGCUGAAAAGUGCUCUCUAACAGCUAGGUAUUGAGUGUUGCGCUAGCCCUCUGAGCAGUGGAAAUUUCACCUCUACGUCAUUAAAUCCGAAGUAAGCUGAAUGCGCAGCGAGCCAAUCACUCGAACAAAAAGAAAAUCAGCCCGACAGAAGGUCUAGAGCAAAAUACCCUACUUGCCCCUCACAUUAUAUCAGAAUGGCGAGGACUGCACAAACUCUUGUGUAU